GGAAUGUUGCACUUGUCUUCUCAUGAUUAUUUUAUCUCGGGUCUCUAUCACAAAGUGAGAGCCCGUCUCCAGAAAUAAUUAAAUAUCAACCCUUUUAGGUACAUCCAAAACAUCAUGCAAUAACAAAUAAGGAGUAUAUGCAUGAAUGGAUCCAUCACAGCUCCCACUAGGAAGUCGUAUGUUUUUGGUUAAGUCCUAAGGGGACGAACGUAACAAAUAUGCGCAAUAAACAUAAUAUUUACACAUAAAUAUACAACAAUAAAUAUGAAAAAUAUUUAAUUUUACUCAUAAUUGACCA
rnacentral:lncRNA from 1 species